GACGAACGCUGGCGGCGCGCUUAACACAUGCAAGUCGAGCGAGAACCAGGGCUUCGGCCCUGGGGACAGCGGCGAACGGGUGAGUAACACGUGGGUAAUCUGCCCUUGACAUCGGGAUAGCCCGGGGAAACCCGGAUUAAUACCGAAUAGCCUCCGGAGCCUUCGGGCGCCGGAGAAAAGGUAGCUUCGGCCUCUGGUCAAGGAUGAGCCCGCGGCGGAUUAGCUUGUUGGCGGGGUAACGGCCCACCAAGGCGACGAUCCGUAGCUGGUCUGAGAGGACGAUCAGCCACACUGGGACUGAGACACGGCCCAGACUCCUACGGGAGGCAGCAGUGGGGAAUCUUGCGCAAAUGCGGGAAACCGUGACGCAGCGACGCCGCGUGGGGGAAGAAGGGCCUUCGGGGUUGUAAACCUCUUUCAGGAGGGACGAAGCUACUCGGGUUAAUAGCCCAGAGGGUGAC
rnacentral:rRNA from 1 species